AGUAGCUGGGUGCUGGUGGGCCCCCCGGUCUUCAAAACCGGUGAGGGGGGCUAGGAACCUCCCGGGUGGGUUCGAUUCCCACAUAUUCC
rnacentral:tRNA from 1 species